UACGUAGGGUGCAAGCGUUGUCCGGAAUUAUUGGGCGUAAGGAGCUCGUAGGCGGUUUGUCGCGUCUGCUGUGAAAACUCAGGGCUUAACCCUGAGCCUGCAGUGGGUACGGGCAGACUAGAGUGUGGUAGGGGAGAUCGGAAUUCCUGGUGUAGCGGUGGAAUGCGCAGAUAUCAGGAGGAACACCGGUGGCGAAGGCGGAUCUCUGGGCCAUAACCGACGCUGAGGAGCGAAAGCAUGGGGAGCGAACAGG
rnacentral:rRNA from 1 species